rnacentral:rRNA from 1 species
UACGAAGGGGGCUAGCGUUGCUCGGAAUCACUGGGCGUAAAGGGUGCGUAGGCGGGUCUUUUAAGUCAGGGGUGAAAUCCUGGAGCUCAACUCCAGAACUGCCUUUGAUACUGAGGAUCUUGAGUCCGGGAGAGGUGAGUGGAACUGCGAGUGUAGAGGUGAAAUUCGUAGAUAUUCGCAAGAACACCAGUGGCGAAGGCGGCUCACUGGCCCGGUACUGACGCUGAGGUGCGAAAGCGUGGGGAGCAAACAGG